GAAGCGCGAUAUGUAGUGUGAAUUGCAGAUCUGUGAAUCAUCGAAAUUUUGAACGCAUAUGGCGGUGCCUACGCAAGUGGGCACCAUGCCUGGCUGAGUUUCAUUAUCUUUCUCAUUCUUCAAUCUCCUUGUGAGUAUUGUUCGAGUGGAUAAUGAGUGUUACGCUUGUCAUUGCGUAUCACUUAAAACACAGAAGUUGGGGAUUUAUGCAGUCGCAUACCAAACAUCACUGACGUAGUGAAUUUUCUCUCGUCAUGGAUGGUGACUGCGCUUUAGAUCCUAGACUCUACAGGAUGAAGACGUAACGAGCACGGUGCGCUAGCUACUGCGGCACGGACAAGUCUUUUCAUACUAAGUUUGAACUCAGAUCAGGCAGGAUUACCCGCUGAAUUUAA
rnacentral:misc_RNA from 1 species